CUAAACUCCUGAUGUUCUAAUGUUGUGUUGCAGUGCGUGGCUCAGGUGGAACGUCUCUGCUCUGUGGUCCUCCCUCCUGUGAGCAGCACGCCACCUUCCACAGUGACUCUCGGGUCAGCAGGUGUGUCACCUUCAGCAGAGAUGGGACUUUGUUCAGCUGGUGCAACGGACACAAUGUCUCUGUGGUCAGGUGUUCAGAUGGUUCCGUGGUGUCGUCCUUUGAUCUUCCUAAGACGUCUCUGUUGGACUUCUCUCCUCUUGGCAGCAUCCUGGUUACCUGGCAACCGUACAGCAAGUCACAGGACAGUCCUCAGGGAGAAGCUAACCUACAGCUGUGGAACAUUCAGAGCGGUCAGCUGAUCAAAGCUUUGUAUCAGAAGAAGGUCGACUCCUGGUGUCCUAGCUGGUCUGAAGACGAGAGUAUCUGCGUGAGGAGCGUCAACAACGAGCUUCACUUCUACGAGAACAAUGACUUCAACUCCAUUGCUAACAAGCUCCACAUGCAGAAGGUGUCCAACUUUGAGGUGUCACCUGGAGGUCAGCCCAGCAAGGUGAGAGGAC